GAACGUCGUGAGACAGUUCGGUCCCUAUCUGCCGUGGGUGUAGGAGGUUUGAGAGGCUUUGUCCCUAGUACGAGAGGACCGGGAUGAACGUACCUCUGGUGGAGCUGUUGUCGCGCCAGCGGCAGUGCAGCAUAGCUACGUACGGACGGGAUAACCGCUGAAGGCAUCUAAGCGGGAAACCCCCCUUAAAACGAGACCUCCCUUGAGGGCCGUGGAAGACGACCACGUCGAUAGGCCGGGGGUGCAAGCGCGGCGACGCGUUGAGCCGACCGGUACUAAUCGCCCGAUUGGCUUGAUCGCU
rnacentral:rRNA from 1 species